rnacentral:rRNA from 1 species
GACGAACGCUGGCGGCGUGCUUAACACAUGCAAGUCGAACGGUAAGGCCCUUCGGGGUACACGAGUGGCGAACGGGUGAGUAACACGUGGGUGAUCUGCCCUGCACUUCGGGAUAAGCCUGGGAAACUGGGUCUAAUACCGGAUAGGACUCCGGACUGCAUGGUCUGGGGUGGAAAGCUUUUGCGGUGUGGGAUGGGCCCGCGGCCUAUCAGCUUGUUGGUGGGGUGAUGGCCUACCAAGGCGACGACGGGCAGCCGGCCUGAGAGGGUGACCGGCCAGACUGGGACUGAGAUACGGCCCAGACUCCUACGGGAGGCAGCAGUGGGGAAUAUUGCACAAUGGGCGCAAGCCUGAUGCAGCGACGCCGCGUGAGGGAUGACGGCCUUCGGGUUGUAAACCUCUUUCAGCAUCGACGAAGCGAAAGUGACGGUAGGUGCAGAAGAAGGACCGGCCAACUACGUGCCAGCCGCCGCUGUAA